GGCAAAUGUAGCACUCGCAGAGAGGGCCAGGUCUGUUACAGUUAACCUCUGUGUUAUCAGCGACCGGGCCCAUCGCUGUCAGAUGCCUCUGCCGACGCGCUGCACGAGCGGAUGAAGGGGACCGGGAGUGGAUGAGUGGCAUCGGGAAGCAUCGCUCGUUUAGGGAAACAACAACAAAGCCGAGCGGCGUCUCUGGGUUUCUCGUGCAGACACAUUUCCACUGCUGAGUCACUGUCAGAUUCAUGCCGUCUUUCCUCUGAUCUGGGAACACAGAGGAGACCAGUGGAGCCGUCAGUCCCCAUCCAAGCUGCUCUGUCUGGGGGACACGAGGCCGGCCCGGCUGCCUGGCCCCUUCACAGAGACAGUGCUGGGUUUAAUUAUCCCCAGCUGUGCUUCAUCUCCCUCCCCAGCUGGGCUGCGUGUCCCAGUGUCCUCUGCAAGGAAGGCAGGGAUACGCGGGAGUCAAGUAAAAAGAAGAGACGGAUGAAGAGCUGUGGCGAGAAGAUGCUUGACUUCCCUCGGUGCAGCUGGCACGACUGUCUGAACCACUCAGACUCGGAACACCCCCCCCCACCCCCCCCCCCCCCCCCCCCCCCUCCCCCUCCUCACCGUGGCGAUAGCUCCGCUAAUGACCAGGAGGAACCAAAACAGAGGUAAUAGGUUUCCUCCGCGGCUCAUGAGACUGACCAAAAAUCUGCUUGAUAUUUGAAGAGCAGCAUUUGAUGAAAGGCAUUAGAGGACGUGCAUUAUUUAUGACUGGUGAGUGAUGCAUUAAGUCAUUAAAUAUGCAUACGUACAUUACAUGAGAGAGAACAUGUCCUAUAGCGUGUCAUAUUGAUUCUGGCGUGAGGUUCUGGUCCCCUCUGAUCCACAUGCAGACACGUCAGGGGACGACACCCACCAAAUCGCUCAGAUGAUAAAGUGACGGCGAAAGUCUUCCGUGCGCGCGCGUGCGCGGUCACAGCUGAGGCGCUGCGCAGUUUGAACCCGCCAGAUCGAGGACGGCGUCCGCGCAUGCAGCAGAUUUUGUGUGGGAGCCGAGCGCGCGACGUCACGUGGGGGGAAACCGGGAUGCGCUGCCAAUUCACACAGUUAAAGGACUCGCACGAGCGCCGCUGAACUCGCCGAAGCGAUCGCUUUGCGUCUCCCACUGAUGCCUUCAGUUUUCCACGCGCUCCUGCCGCGAGCGGAACCUGGCCGCUGGGCAGCGGUGACGUAGCGGCAGCGGAGCGACGCGGUGGGUGAACGUCUGAGGCCCCAGCGAAGCUUCACGUGAAUUACUCGGCCCAGAAAAGCAAACCAGGCCGAGCUUCCUCGCGUUAAAAGCCCUUAUUUAUGUUGCAUCAGGUUGAUAGUAAUUACUGCGGUGGCCACGCGCUGUGAAUUUCAACUGUGCAGUUUUGUCAGCUUAAGAAAACACAGCGUAACUCCACGAAUAUGGAAGCAGGUCGAGCCCCGGCCGUGGUCCUGUCACCGUCUCCACUCAUCCCCGUCUUUCCCACAUCACAACCGGAGCUGCAGAAAAAAAAAAGCUCGCUCUCACAAUUAGUAUUCACGGGCAUGGAUGAAAGUGAGUGUAAGUUAAAUUGUUCCCAAGCCACUUCAAAACGCCGGCAGCUGUUGCUUUCCCAGGUGACUUGUUUCGUCUAUAAAGACAUGUGAGCCACUGUGUUACACAAUAAAAAAAAAAAAAAACAAUGUAGGGGAGUUACA
ensembl:lncRNA